rnacentral:rRNA from 1 species
AACGAACGCUGGCGGCAGGCCUAACACAUGCAAGUCGAACGCUCGUAGCAAUACGAGAGUGGCAGACGGGUGAGUAACACGUGGGAACCUUCCCUAUGGUUCGGAAUAGCUCAGGGAAACUUGGGGUAAUACCGGAUAAGCCCUUCGGGGAAAGAUUUAUUGCCAUUGGAUGGGCCCGCGUCGGAUUAGCUAGUUGGUGAGGUAACGGCUCACCAAGGCAACGAUCCGUAGCUGGUCGAGAGGAUGAUCAGCCACACUGGGACUGAGACACGGCCCAGACUCCUACGGGAGGCAGCAGUGGGGAAUAUUGGACAAUGGGCGCAAGCCUGAUCCAGCCAUGCCGCGUGAGUGACGAAGGUCUUCGGAUUGUAAAACUCUUUUGGCGGGGACGAUAAUGACGGUACCCGCAGAAUAAGCCCCGCUAACUUCGUGCCAGCCGCCGCCGU